UAUGGGUUUUACUCCCCGGGAUAGUAAUGUGUAGUUCGUAUGAUGUUACCAUAUAGCAGGUCAGGGGUGUCCGGCGUUUCAUGUAGUUGUCGGAAGGUCUAUUUGUUGUGUUUAUGUGUUGAGGAGAUAUUAAUGUUUAAGUCGAGAGGUAGAGGAGAGAGCAGCGGAGUUGAGUUGAGACGUAGAUGAGGUGUCGAGGUUAGAAGUCCGGUGUUGUGUGUAUGUGCGUCAGUGGUUGCUUUGCGUGCCCUGUCCGACCCCAACCUCUACAGGCGAGACUCCACAGCACGACUCGGCAGACAACGACGCCCCGAGGGCCCGACGUCGUAUAGGAGUCGUCGUCGUGGGAGCAUCUAGCCGGGAGGCCUCUGUGGACAAGACAAGCCUCUUCCCGACGGGCAGAGGAGUUCCUGUCGUUUCCUGUGGUUCCGGGACACACCCGGAAGUGCGCAAGCCGGCCGCCGAGGAGGAAGUUGGCGCGGGACACCUGGCAACCAUUUGAUGAACUUUUUUUGUUGUAAAUUGUUAUGUUUUUGUUGUUGUUUUGUAAAUGUCGGAAUGUCGCUGACCUGCAUUGUAGAAGAAUUAGUAGUAUUGUAUAGAAGUAUGUAAAAGAAAAGCGGUGAUGAUCUUCCUGAUAAUAUGUCCCGGUAAUCAAUAAUUGAUAACAGCUGUCAACAAUGUGGAAAUUGUUUUAAAAAAUGAGGGGUGAGGUGUCACGAGGUGACAGCGUGUCAAGUCACUGUUAACCCCUGGUGUGGGGAAUGUCACCGGACUAAGUGGGACCAGAUGGAGAGGGGUCGGGAGAAGUGACACGUAUGAGGGUACGGGGGGAUUCAACCGAGAGAAGCCGACAGAGAAAGACGUGUCUACCAGAGCUCCGAAUAAAGUCUUCUAUCCGCAAA